AAGACCCCAUGGAGCUUUAAACCCAAUUACACUCCUAUUUUUUAUUAACCUCUUAGACUAUGGAUAUUUGUAUAUUUGGUUUUAGGUUGGGGUGACCACGGAGCAUAACUUAGCCUCCAUGAUGAACGGGAUUUUACCCCUUAUCCAAGAACUACACCUCUAAGAACUAGUAUUCUAACAUAAAAUGAUCCGAUAAUCGAUCAACGAACCAAGUUACCCUGGGGAUAACAGCGCAAUCCACUUCAAGAGCUCCUAUCGACAAGUGGGUUUACGACCUCGAUGUUGGAUCAGGGUAUCCUAGUGGUGCAGCAAUUACUAAAGGUUCGUUUGUUCAACGAUUAAAACCCU
rnacentral:rRNA from 1 species